GUAGCACUGGAGCUGACAUGAACAAGACCUGAUGAUCCAGAUAAUGUCUUGAGCUUCAACAGAAGAGGAAAAUUUAGAUUCACAUGAUUAGUGUCAGUUAUUUACUCACACUGUGAAAUUGUGCACAGUCUGAAAUUCAUUACUAAUUUUACAUCAUCUUGUAGGUCUACAUCAGAUUUUGAAUCUUUGUUUUCCAGACUUUUGGACACCACUUUAUUGCCUGCCGGAUACAAGACGGAGGUUCAGUGCGGCCGCAGGGCCGAUCAUCGUCCGGGAAUCUGACAACACCAGUCCUGAAAGACUCAUCGACAGGAAAAAGCAAGUACAAGCCUGAUUUGUAAUUGAGACGACAGAUGGUUUUACUUAAUCAGCCAUUCUGGAGAAAAUCAACAGAGUGUUGAAUUGAUAAAGAAUUGUGGUUUAGAGGAAUAAUCAAUGAUUCAUGAAGGACUCAUGAA
ensembl:lncRNA